CUAAUAGCGUAUAUUAAAGUUGUUGUAGUUAAAAAGCUCGUAGUUGAAUUUCGGGACCAAUCUGCCGGUCGUGCCUCCGGUACGCACUGGUUUUAUUGGUUUCUCCCUUCUGACGAACCAUGAUGUCAUUAAUUUGGUGUCAUGGGGAAUCAGGACUGUUACUUUGAAAAAAUUAGAGUGUUUAUAGCAGGCUCACGCUUGAAUACAUUAGCAUGGAAUAAUGAAAUAGGACGUUUGACCCUAUUUUGUUGGUUUCUAGGAUCGACGUAAUGAUUAAUAGGGAUAGUUGGGGGCAUUAGUAUUCAAUUGUCAGAGGUGAAAUUCUUGGAUUUAUUGAAGACUAACUACUGCGAAAGCAUUUGCCAAGGAUGUUUUCAUUAAUCAAGAACGAAAGUUAGGGGAUCGAAGACGAUCAGAUACCGUCGUAGUCUUAACCAUAAACUAUGCCGACUAGGGAUCGGAUGAUGUUAAUUUUUUAAUGACUCGUUUGGCACCUUACG
rnacentral:misc_RNA from 1 species